UGAGUCCUACGGGGGGCAGCAGUAGGGAAUCUUCCACAAUGGGCGAAAGCCUGAUGGAGCAACGCCGCGUGGGUGAAGAAGGUCUUCGGAUCGUAAAACCCUGUUGUUAGAGAAGAAAGUGCGUGAGAGUAACUGUUCACGUUUCGACGGUAUCUAACCAGAAAGCCACGGCUAACUACGUGCCAGCAGCCGCGGGAAUACGUAGGUGGCAAGCGUUAUCCGGAUUUAUUGGGCGUAAAGGAAACGCAGGCGGGCUUUUAAGGCUGAUGUGAAAGCCUUCGGCUUAACCGGAGUAGGACAUUGGG
rnacentral:rRNA from 1 species